rnacentral:lncRNA from 1 species
GUUGGAUGUCCUGUACUCUUUCGCAUCAUUUGAAAGCCUUUGCCUGGAUUGGAGAAGGAAAAACUUUGAGAAAAACUCACACAGUCAUCCUAGUGUUGAUUGCAGCUAUGAUUUGGGCAGUAUGGAAUGAGCGGAAUGCUUGGAUUUUUUUGAACAAGCGUUCAUCUGUUUCGGCUAUCGGCGCAGCCUGUCUCCAUUUCUUCAAGGA